UGGAAAAACUCCCGUGGAUUUUUUAUUCAUGAUUAUGAUGAUUAAUAAGUGAACAAGAAGUCCAGCAAACUUGGGAGCUCCAGCAACACAACUUAAACGAGGCUAGAAGUGUAUCUGUAUCUUUCUACAAAUAUUUUUUGUUAGCCAAAAUAAAGAUGACUUUUAAAUGGAAUCGGGAACACGUAGAAUAAUUAAUAACAUCUAUACAAGAAAAUUCUUGUAUUUAUGUGAGGUCCACGGAAUACAUGGACAGAAUAAAGAAGGCACAAACGUUCAAUUCCAUAUUAGAAGAUAUGAAGAAAAUGGAAUUACGGUGGAAGAAAUAAAACGGAAGUGGAAAAAUUUUCGUACGCAGUAUAUACAGGAACUGCGCGCAAUGAAUUCAUCCAAAAAAAGUGGAUCUGGAGCGACCGACAUUUACACUCCAAAGCUAUGGUGUUUUGAAAAAUUGGAUUUUCUAAGAACACACAGUGAAUCAAGGAAAAGUGCAGACAACAUCCAGGAGGUGAUUACGGAGGAUGAAUUGAAUCUUCCCAGCUCCUCAGGAAGUUGCACUACCUCUAAAACCAGUUCAGACGAGCCUCCCGCUAAUAAAAGGAACAAGAUAACGGAUGCAGUUAAGGAUUUUUCUAAUCAUUUGGAAUCUUUUAAAAAUAUUUUAAUUCAAAAGAAAUCCGAAAAAAUAUGCUACAGCUUGCGAUGUCCAAUGUCUCAUGCAGAAGCUGACAAAUCAGAGCACUUUAUCCUCAAAAGACAUACUAGAGCAAUCUAUGGAAGGAAUAUUUUCUGAAUAUGAUGUUGACACUUUCUAAAUAACAUUAACAUUUUUUAUACUUAUUUCUUAAUAUUAAAAUUGUUAAAUAUUUUUUGUUUGUUUUUUAUAUACUAAAAGAGUUUGUUUAAUGCAUUUGUUUACAUUUUUAAACAUUUUAAAAAAUUGACCAAAACAAAUUAUAUUAAAACCACUUUGUAUUCAGUAUUAGUUUUUAUUUUAUUUUUUGGUUUCUUAAAAUUAUAUUUUUUUUUUGUUAAUUCUUGACCCGAAAUUUGUUUUAUUUUAAUAAUC